rnacentral:rRNA from 1 species
AAUAGAUACCCAGGUAGUCCACGCCGUAAACGAUGAGUGCUAAGUGUUAGAGGGUUUCCGCCCUUUAGUGCUGCAGCUAACGCAUUAAGCACUCCGCCUGGGGAGUACGGUCGCAAGACUGAAACUCAAAGGAAUUGACGGGGGCCCGCACAAGCGGUGGAGCAUGUGGUUUAAUUCGAAGCAACGCGAAGAACCUUACCAGGUCUUGACAUCCCACUGACCGGUAUAGAGAUAUACCUUUCCCUUCGGGGACAGUGGUGACAGGUGGUGCAUGGUUGUCGUCAGCUCGUGUCGUGAGAUGUUGGGUUAAGUCCCGCAACGAGCGCAACCCUUGAUCUUAGUUGCCAGCAUUUAGUUGGGCACUCUAAGGUGACUGCCGGUGACAAACCGGAGGAAGGUGGGGAUGACGUCAAAUCAUCAUGCCCCUUAUGACCUGGGCUACACACGUGCUACAAUGGAUGGUACAAAGGGCUGCAAGACUGCGAAGUCAAGCCAAUCCCAUAAAACCAUUCUCAGUUCGGAUUGC